rnacentral:rRNA from 1 species
UACGUAGGUGGCGAGCGUUGUCCGGAUUUACUGGGCGUAAAGAGCGCGCAGGCGGUCGUUCAAGUCGCGUGUGAAAGCCCCCGGCUCAACUGGGGAGGGUCACGCGAUACUGAUCGACUCGAAGGCAGGAGAGGGAAGUGGAAUUCCCGGUGUAGUGGUGAAAUGCGUAGAUAUCGGGAGGAACACCAGUGGCGAAGGCGACUUCCUGGCCUGUUCUUGACGCUGAGGCGCGAAAGCUAGGGGAGCAAACGGGGA